UACAGAGGGUGCGAGCGUUAAUCGGAAUUACUGGGCGUAAAGCGUACGCAGGCGGCUUUGCAAGACAGGUGUGAAAUCCCCGGGCCUAACCUGGGAACUGCAUUUGUGACUGCAUAGCUAGAGUUUGUCAGAGGGGGGUGGAAUUCCACGUGUAGCAGUGAAAUGCGUAGAUAUGUGGAGGAACACCGAUGGCGAAGGCAGCCCCCUGGGAUGUGACUGACGCUCAUGUACGAAAGCGUGGGGAGCAAACAGG
rnacentral:rRNA from 1 species